rnacentral:rRNA from 1 species
AGAGUUUGAUCAUGGCUCAGAACGAACGCUGGCGGCAUGCCUAAUACAUGCAAGUCGAACGCGCCUAGCGAUAGGCGAGUGGCGGACGGGUGAGUAACGCGUGGGAACCUGCCCUUGAGUGCGGGAUAACCGAGGGAAACUUCGGCUAAUACCGCAUGCGCCCCGAGCAAUCGGGGGAAAGAUUUAUCGCUCGAGGAGGGGCCCGCGUCGGAUUAGCUAGUUGGUGGGGUAACGGCCUACCAAGGCGAUGAUCCGUAGCUGGUCUGAGAGGAUGAUCAGCCACACUGGGACUGAGACACGGCCCAGACUCCUACGGGAGGCAGCAGUAGGGAAUAUUGGACAAUGGGGGCAACCCUGAUCCAGCAAUGCCGCGUGAGUGAUGAAGGCCUUAGGGUUGUAAAGCUCUUUCGCGCGCGACGAUGAUGACGGUAGCGCGAGAAGAAGCCCCGGCUAACUUCGUGCCAGCAGCCGCGGUAAUACGAAGGGGGCGAGCGUUGUUCGGAAUUACUGGGCGUAAAGGGCGCGCAGGCGGCCUAACAAGUCAGGCGUGAAAGCCCCGGGCUUAACCUGGGAAUUGCGCUUGGGACUGAUAGGCUAGAGUACGGGAGAGGAGAGUGGAAUUCCCAGUGUAGAGGUGAAAUUCGUAGAUAUUGGGAAGAACACCGGUGGCGAAGGCGGCUCUCUGGACCGUAACUGACGCUGAGGCGCGAAAGCGUGGGGAGCAAACAGGAUUAGAUACCCCGGUAGUCC